AAUAGAUACCCGGGUAGUCCUAGCCGUAAACGAUACUCGCUAGGUGUCGGCCACGGUGCGACCGUUGUCGGUGCCGUAGGGAAGCCGUGAAGCGAGCCACCUGGGAAGUACGGCCGCAAGGCUGAAACUUAAAGGAAUUGGCGGGGGAGCACCACAACGGGUGGAGCUUGCGGUUUAAUUGGAUUCAACGCCGGAAAUCUUACCGGGACCGACAGCAAUAUGAAGGCCAGGCUGAAGACUUUGCCGGAUUAGCUGAGAGGUGGUGCAUGGCCGUCGUCAGUUCGUACUGUGAAGCAUCCUGUUAAGUCAGGCAACGAGCGAGACCCACGCCCACAGUUGCCAGCGUACUCUCUGGAGUGACGGGUACACGUGUGGGGACCGCCGCUGCUAAAGCGGAGGAAGGAAUGGGGCAACGGCAGGUCAGUAUGCCCCGAAUAUCCCGGGCUACACGCGAGCUACAAUGGUUGGUACAAUGGGUAUCUACCCCGAAAGGGGACGGGAAUCUCCUAAAACCAAUCUUAGUUCGGAUUGAGGGCUGCAACUCGCCCUCA
rnacentral:rRNA from 1 species